rnacentral:rRNA from 1 species
GACGAACGCUGGCGGCGUGCCUAAUACAUGCAAGUCGAGCGAAGCGGGGACGGGGGAGUAACACGUGUAUAAACUCCUAUAAGACUGGGAUAACUCCGGGAAACCGGAGCUAAACCGGAUACUUAUAGUUGGAUUCGCGCUGCAUUAGCUAGUUGGUAAGGUAACGGCUUACCAAGGCAUCGAUGAAUAGCCGACCUGAGAGAGUAAUCGGCAACACUGGAACGAGGACACGGUCCAGACUCCUACGGAGGGCGGCAGUAGGAAAUCUUCCGAAAUGGGGGAAGGCCUGACGGAGCAACGCCGCGUGAGUGAUGAGGGUCUUCGGAUCGUAAAACUCUGUUAUUAGGGCAACGGUACCUAAUCAGAAAGCCACGGCUAACUACGUGCCAGCAGCCGCGGUAAUUC